rnacentral:rRNA from 1 species
GACGAACGCUGGCGGCGUGCUUAACACAUGCAAGUCGAACGGAAAGGCCCUGCUUUUGUGGGGUGCUCGAGUGGCGAACGGGUGAGUAACACGUGAGUAACCUGCCCUUGACUUUGGGAUAACUUCAGGAAACUGGGGCUAAUACCGGAUAGGAGCUCCUGCUGCAUGGUGGGGGUUGGAAAGUUUCGGCGGUUGGGGAUGGACUCGCGGCUUAUCAGCUUGUUGGUGGGGUAGUGGCUUACCAAGGCUUUGACGGGUAGCCGGCCUGAGAGGGUGGCCGGCCACAUUGGGACUGAGAUACGGCCCAGACUCCUACGGGAGGCAGCAGUGGGGAAUAUUGCACAAUGGGCGGAAGCCUGAUGCAGCAACGCCGCGUGCGGGAUGAAGGCCUUCGGGUUGUAAACCGCUUUCGCCUGUGACGAAGCGUGAGUGACGGUAAUGGGUAAAGAAGCACCGGCUAACUACGUG